rnacentral:rRNA from 1 species
AUUGCAGAACACAUUGAACAUCGACACCUUGAACGCAUAUGGCGGCCUUGGGUCCAUCCCGAGGCCACGCCCGUCUGAGGGUCGGCU